rnacentral:lncRNA from 1 species
AAAACUUAUGACCACAAGGGGGCAGUAGGACGCACAAGCUUUCUUUGAGCCAGGACUUGAGAGUUUUGGGUGUGGGGAAGUCCUUCGCAGCAGGAGAACUGUCCAGAGACAGGCAAGGGUUCACGGGUGCCACCAUUUGGAAGGGGAGGAAGAUGAGUGCCAGCUGGAGAGAACUAGUGAUACCUGGGCAGCUCCUUUACCAGAGUUAACUGGAGAUGCAAAUCCUCCCACGACCUCAGUGAUUGCAUCACAUGGUGAGAGUGAGGAAGUACCACCCGAACCUAAGGAAGGAGCAGCAGCACCAGCGGCACCAGUAAAAGGCCAUGUUGGUCCAGGAGCAGGAGAGCAUCUUACAACAAAUUCCCUACUCAGGCAUGUUAGCAUGAGCCUCUUCCCUCCCUUCCUGAGCCAAAGGACAACUAGGGAUCCCAAGGCCGUGGGGCCCACCUGUCCUCAGGCCCCAGGGUAGAGGCAAUGCCUCCUGGGCACCAAGAAAGGAGCUUGCAAGAUUCAUGCACGUGACUGAGGCCAGCAUGCAGGAAGAUUAGCCCUGAACUAACUACUGCCAAUCCUACUCUUUUUGCUGAGGAAGACUGGUCCUGAGCUAACAUCCAUGCCCAUCUUCCUCUACUUUAUAUGUGGGACGCCCACCACAGCAUGGCUUUUGCCAAGCGGUGCCAUGUCUGCACCCAGGAUCCAAGCCGGCGAACCACGGGCCGCUGAGAAGCGGAACGUGCGCACUUAACUGCUGCGCCACCAGGCUGGCCCCUAGAAAUAUAUUCGAUAUGAUAUAAAUAAAUAUGUGCACAUUUGCAUGUGUAUACAUACACAUGCAUAUAUAUAUAUGUAUUAGGGAGGACUUCUGUGUGGAGACUAUACGAUGGAAAUAAUAACACUAUCUAUGUCAUAGAACUGAUGAGGGGAACAAAUGACAUAAUGCACAUAA